rfam:Spinacia oleracea cultivar SynViroflay scaffold10713.con0005.1, whole genome shotgun sequence.
GGGCGAUGACGAAGAUAUAUUGGUCUCGUUCGUCAUAAGAGCGAUUCAAUUCGCCUUGAUGACCAUUCUUAUAUCACCACCCAUAAGCCGAGUCC